AUUGAACGCUGGCGGCAGGCCUAACACAUGCAAGUCGAGCGGAACGGCGGACGGGCGAGUAAUGCCUAGCAAUCUGCCUGGUAGUGGGGGAUAACGUCCGGCACGGGGCGCUAAUACAUCACACUUUCAGUUGAGCCUAGGUCGGAUUAGCUAGUUGGUCGGGUAAAGGCCUACCAAGGCGACGAUCCGUAACUGGUCUGAGAGGAUGAUCAGUCACACUGGAACUGAGACACGGUCCAGACUCCUACGGGAGGCAGCAGUGGGGAAUAUUGGACAAUGGGCGAAAGCCUGAUCCAGCCAUGCCGCGUGUGUGAAGAAGGUCUUCGGAUUGUAAAGCACUUUAAGUUGGGAGGCGUUACCAACAGAAUAAGCACCGGCUAACUUCGUGCCAGCAGCCGCGGUAAUUC
rnacentral:rRNA from 1 species